rnacentral:misc_RNA from 1 species
AAUGAAAAAAAAAUAUAUGUAAAAAUAUGUGUGCAAUUUUAUAUACUAAUAGACAAAUACAGAUACACAAAGCAGCAUACCACCGAGCAAGUGAAUUUAUACAACACAGGAAAUCACAUAUUCUCCCACGUAUUCUACCUUUCCAUAUUGAAUGGUGCAAGUCCAGCUCCCAUAUGAAUAAAACUACCCCUGGACUCACCAAAUUUCUUUUCCUUUUGGGAUUCAACAUCACUAAACACUUCUUCUUCUUCUUCUUCUUUCAACAAAAAGCAAGAAGAAGGAAUGGACUCCACCAAGAUCUCAGCUUUCCUCCUCAUUUGCAUGCUCUUCAUUUCCUCCACCACUCCAAUUCUUGGCUAUUGUUCUUGCGACAACCACAAGCCACCAAAGCACAAGGGCCACAAGGGAAAAUUUCCUCACCCUCCCAUUACUAUUCCUCCCAAAGUUAAGCCUCCAAUCAAGUUGCCACCAGUCAUCCCUCCUAUUGUGAAGCCGCCGGUGACAGUUCCUCCUAUUGUGAAGCCACCAGUGACUCUCCCUCCUGUGACAUUUCCUCCCAUUGUGAAGCCACCAGUGACUCUCCCUCCUGUGACAUUUCCUCCCAUUGUGAAGCCACCAGUGACUCUCCCUCCUGUGACAUUUCCUCCC